GAUGAAGAACGUAGCGAAAUGCGAUAAGUAAUGUGAAUUGCAGAAUUCAGUGAAUCAUCGAAUCUUUGAACGCACCUUGCACCCUUUGGCAUUCCGAAGGGUAUGCUCGUUUGAGUGUCAUUGUACUCUCACUCUCCCGAUGCUUUUGGAUCGGGAGUGGUGGACUUGGGUGUUGCUGCUUUGCUGUGGCUCGCCUCAAAUGGAGUAGUGCAACUCUUGGUUGGACAUAGUACGGCGUGAUAAGUGUCUUCGCCGGCGCCUCAUUAUAGAGGGUGGCCGAUCGGGAGCUCUGUGCUUCAAACCGUCUUCGGACAACAUCUGACAACUUGACCUCAAUCGAGUAGGACUACCCGCUGAACUUAAGCAUAUCAAUAAGCGGAGGA
rnacentral:misc_RNA from 1 species